UACGUAGGGGGCUAGCGUUGUCCGGAAUCAUUGGGCGUAAAGAGCGUGUAGCUGCUCGGUAGGUCCGUUGUGAAAACUCGAGCUCAACCUCGAGACGCCGGUGGAAACCAUCUAGCUAGAGUCCGGAAGAGGAGAGUGGAAUUCCUGGUGUAGCGGUGAAAUGCGCAGAUAUCAGGAAGAACACCCGUGGCGAAGGCGGCUCUCUGGGACGUGACUGACGCUGAGACGCGAAAGCGUGGGGAGCGAACAGG
rnacentral:rRNA from 1 species